rnacentral:rRNA from 1 species
AUGGCGUCCGAGACGAGCGUCGCCGACGAGAAGGCGCCCGCCGGGCUGAGCCGCUACGAGGCGGACGCGGAGGACGGGCAGGACGGCGGCGGCGACAGCAAGUCCCGGCUGUCCGGCCUGCUGUGGCACGGCGGGUCGGCGUACGACGCGUGGUUCAGCUGCGCGUCGAACCAGGUCGCCCAGGUCCUGCUGACGCUGCCCUACUCCUUCGCGCAGCUGGGCAUGGUGAGCGGCAUCCUGUUCCAGCUCUUCUACGGCCUCCUGGGCAGCUGGACCGCCUACCUCAUCAGCAUCCUCUACCUCGAGUACCGCACCCGCAAGGAGAAGGACAAGGUCGACUUCCGCAACCACGUCAUCCAGUGGUUCGAGGUGCUGGACGGGCUGCUGGGGCGGCACUGGAGGAACGUCGGGCUGGCCUUCAACUGCACGUUCCUGCUGUUCGGGUCGGUGAUCCAGCUCAUCGGCUGCGCCAGCAACAUCUACUACGUGAACGACCACCUGGACAAGCGGACGUGGACCUACAUCUUCGGCGCCUGCUGCGCCACCACCGUCUUCAUCCCCUCCUUCCACAACUACCGCGUCUGGUCCUUCCUGGGCCUCCUCAUGACCACCUACACCGCCUGGUACAUCGCCGUCGCCUCCCUCAUGCACGGCCAGGCCGCCGGCGUCAAGCACUCCGGCCCCACCACCAUCAUGCUCUACUUCACCGGCGCCACCAACAUCCUCUACACCUUCGGGGGCCACGCUGUCACCGUGGAGGUGAUGCACGCGAUGUGGCGGCCGCAGAAGUUCAAGGCCAUCUACCUGCUGGCGACGCUGUACGUGCUCACCCUGACGCUGCCGUCGGCGUCGGCGGCGUACUGGGCGUUCGGCGACGAGCUGCUCACGCACUCCAACGCGCUCUCGCUGCUCCCGCGCGACGCCUGGCGCGACGCCGCCGUCAUCCUCAUGCUCAUCCACCAGUUCAUCACCUUCGGCUUCGCCUGCACCCCGCUCUACUUCGUGUGGGAGAAGCUCAUCGGCCUCCACGACUGCCGCAGCCUCUGCAAGCGCGCCGCCGCCAGGCUCCCCGUCGUCGUCCCCAUCUGGUUCCUCGCCAUCAUCUUCCCCUUCUUCGGCCCCAUCAACUCCGCCGUCGGAUCGCUCCUCGUCAGCUUCACCGUCUACAUCAUCCCCGCCAUGGCGCACAUGGUCACCUUCCGCUCACCACAGUCCCGCGAGAACGCGGUGGAGCGGCCGCCGCGGUUCGCCGGAGGCUGGACGGGGGCGUACGUGAUCAACUCGUUCGUGGUGGCGUGGGUGCUUGUCGUCGGCUUCGGAUUCGGCGGGUGGGCCAGCAUCACCAACUUCGUGCAGCAGGUGUCCACCUUCGGCCUCUUCGCCAAGUGCUACCAGUGCCCGCCCCACCCCGCCGUCGCGUCCCCGCUGCUGGCGCCGCCCAUCGCCCCGAGCCCGUCCAUGCCGUUCGGCUUCAACAUGACCGGCAUGUUCGCCCCGAUGUCCGCCCCGUCUACGGCUCCGGCCCCGGCGCCGAUGCAUCUCGGCUCCCUUCACCACCACCACCGGCACCACCGCCAUGGUCUGUGA